AGGCAACCGACCCACAGCUUAUGUGGGACUAAUGGAAACAACAAGGCACAACUGCAACUGUCACACUGCCACUGCUCCUACUAAUGGAUGCCAGCCCCACGGAGCCAGCACAGCCCUGGGCGCAGCACUGCUCCCUUGUGCCAUCCUUGCAGGGCUCCACACCUCGUCUUCAGCCUAGUCUCAUUUUGUAAUGCAUCUGAAUUUUCCCGUGCUGCAUGCCGAUGGGCAAUAGCAUCCCACCAGCGUUUUGGCAUGUAGUUGUCCAUCUGCCUGGAGACAGCCACGCAGGACAGAACUGUCAACUGCCAGAAGAAAACUGAGGUGCUGCAACAGUUCAGCUUUUUACACCCCACAGUUCAUCUGUUCCAUCACUGACUCUAUUGCCUUCAAUUGCUUGUAAUCUUCAACAUUGCUACCUGCACUUAUUUUUUUGUGCUGGUUUUAUUAUAAACCAUAAAAUCAAAGUGCUUUGAUCUAC